UCAGUAAAAGAUGGCGAAGAAAGUUUUGUGUCUCAUUGCCACAAUUUCCACGAAAUGGUCAGAAAUCUGGGACAGAAAUUGGCAUCGAUCUGUUAUGGAAUGCAUUUUCCAGUAAACAGGUGGUGAGAGAUGUGCUCCAGCUGUGAACGCGUCUUCCGUCUUAAACAAUGAAAGGACAUUUUGGCAGUGACUCGACCGUGCACACGGAGAUUGAAUACGUUCUCCAUCAAUGAGGUCAUCAGACACGUGUUCCACAGCGGCUGCAUCCAUGUCAAGAUUACAUGUCGCAUGUCAGAGUUCGUCUGCUAGUAAAUUUGCUGGGUUAACAUUUAAUAUGAUAGUGUUAUGAUUGCUUUGGGUUGUAAUGUUCGUCAUCAGAACGUGUAUCAAAUGAAAAGUGGGAUGUAAGGAAUAUUUUUCACGAAACGGAUUAAGGCCGCGUU